CACAAGGAAGCAGCUCAGUGGAUGACAUGCUGAACCUCUACAGCUCACUAUAGGUCUUAAUGGAAUACCAUCCUUGUGAAUCUUAGGAAGACCGUACCUGUGUGGUAGUUUCCUGUAGUGUUGAGUUAGUUGUCUGUACUUCAUAGGUGUAAAGUGAUCCUUGUUCUUGCUCAAGAUCUGUGACAACUUCCUCUCUGUUUUCAAAGUAGCGAUGGUGAGGGGGACAAACACAGACACACAAACAUACAUC